rnacentral:rRNA from 1 species
GACGAACGCUGGCGGCGUGCUUAACACAUGCAAGUCGAACGGAAAGGCCCUUCGGGGUACUCGAGUGGCGAACGGGUGAGUAACACGUGGGUGAUCUGCCCUGCACUUUGGGAUAAGCCUGGGAAACUGGGUCUAAUACCGAAUAGGACCACGCGCUUCAUGGUGUGUGGUGGAAAGCUUUUGCGGUGUGGGAUGGGCCCGCGGCCUAUCAGCUUGUUGGUGGGGUAAUGGCCUACCAAGGCGACGACGGGUAGCCGGCCUGAGAGGGUGACCGGCCACACUGGGACUGAGAUACGGCCCAGACUCCUACGGGAGGCAGCAGUGGGGAAUAUUGCACAAUGGGCGCAAGCCUGAUGCAGCGACGCCGCGUGAGGGAUGACGGCCUUCGGGUUGUAAACCUCUUUCAAUAGGGACGAAGCGCAAGUGACGGUACCUAUAGAAGAAGCACCGGCCAACUACGCGCCAGCAGCCGCGGUAAUACGUAGGGUGCGAGCGUUGUCCGGAAUUACUGGGCGUAAAGAGCUCGUAGGUGGUUUGUCGCGUUGUUCGUGAAAACUCACAGCUUAACUGUGGGCGUGCGGGCGAUACGGGCAGACUAGAGUACUGCAGGGGAGACUGGAAUUCCUGGUGUAGCGGUGGAAUGCGCAGAUAUCAGGAGGAACACCGGUGGCGAAGGCGGGUCUCUGGGCAGUAACUGACGCUGAGGAGCGAAAGCGUGGGGAGCGAACAGGAUUAGAUACCCUGGUAGUCCACGCCGUAAACGGUGGGUACUAGGUGUGGGUUCCUUCCUUGGGAUCCGUGCCGUAGCUAACGCAUUAAGUACCCCGCCUGGGGAGUACGGCCGCAAGGCUAAAACUCAAAGGAAUUGACGGGGGCCCGCACAAGCGGCGGAGCAUGUGGAUUAAUUCGAUGCAACGCGAAGAACCUUACCUGGGUUUGACAUGCACAGGACGCCGGCAGAGAUGUCGGUUCCCUUGUGGCCUGUGUGCAGGUGGUGCAUGGCUGUCGUCAGCUCGUGUCGUGAGAUGUUGGGUUAAGUCCCGCAACGAGCGCAACCCUUGUCCUAUGUUGCCAGCGGGUUAUGCCGGGGACUCGUAGGAGACUGCCGGGGUCAACUCGGAGGAAGGUGGGGAUGACGUCAAGUCAUCAUGCCCCUUAUGUCCAGGGCUUCACACAUGCUACAAUGGCCGGUACAAAGGGCUGCGAUGCCGUGAGGUGGAGCGAAUCCUUUCAAAGCCGGUCUCAGUUCGGAUCGGGGUCUGCAACUCGACCCCGUGAAGUCGGAGUCGCUAGUAAUCGCAGAUCAGCAACGCUGCGGUGAAUACGUUCCCGGGCCU